rnacentral:lncRNA from 1 species
AUAUAUUUGAAAAAAAUUAAUUUUUUAUAAAUUAAGGUUUUUUGUAGAAUAGCAAAACUUUUUUGUUUAAGAGAAAGAUAGUAUAUUACCUGCUUCGUCUCGAGUCUCAACCAUUAAGAACUUUGUCACUUGCAUUAAAAACGGCCGGUAAUGAUAAAAUUUUAUAAAAAUAAGAAACGGUCGGUAAUGAUAAAAUUUUAUAAGAAUAAUUUUUAUAUUAACUAUUUAAAAGAAUAAAUAUGAAAGUUAAAAAUUUUAUAAUAAUAUAUAAGCAAAUGGCCGUGCAUUAAAAAUUAUUAAUAGGGAGUACUAGUGCCAGCCGAAUAACUUGGCCCAAGAACCCGUCUUUCGGUGAACACGGACAAAAACUAAAAAAAAAGAGAAAUAUUUCUUCUUUGAUUAUCGUUUUUUUUUUAAAGCAUUAUAUGCAUAUUCUAAAAGGAUAUACAUCAUAUAUUCUUUCAUCCUAAGAUUCUGAUUUUAUCACCGACCGUCCCUAGAGCAAAUGGCAAAGAUUUGAUGGUUGGUAUUCGAGACCCAAGUUCGAAUCCUAGUUGAUUCACACUUCUUGCUAAGUUUAUUUCUAAAUUAAAAUAAACGAAGCGAAUAACGUGCUGCCUAUCUCUCAAAAAAAAAAAAAAAAGAUUCUGAUUUUAUCGGCUUUUACUGUU